GUUUCUUCUCUUCUAAGACAACAACUGGUUGAUCGUUCAAUGUUGCUGGCACAAGUUUCAGGACAUACGGCUCUGCAGAUGCUAUAGCUGUGGAUCAAAGUCUAUUUUUUUAUAUUGAUGGCUUGCUCCCUGUUUGGUCUGGUUCUUGUGAACUGGUAGUAAAAGCUGCAGGAGACUCCGCCCACCCACCUGGACGUCAUCUUGGACGAUCUGUGCAUGCGCAGAAGCUUCUGUGCGCACUCCCUUUGUGAACCGGUAGUAAAGGAAAUGACCUUGCUGAAACGGUGGAUCCUGUACUGCUGGGAAAUCUUUUGAAGAUGCUCGUCUUGUUUGUGAAAGGAAUAAUCUUUUAUCUCACCGCGCUUCUCGGCUUGAGUGUUGGAAAUCAGGGAGUAGGAAAUAGUGGAAUGUUCCAGUUUGCUGAGCUGACUGCAGUGCACAAAGAGCAAUGGAGGAAAAAUUAUCUGAUAUAGGAUGCAGUGAAAAGAAAGUGCAG